CCAUCAUCACCACCUGGCUAGUACGAGCCCCCCCCGGUGCCGCCCGCCACAACCGUUGUUUUGCCGNNNNNNNNNNNNNNNNNNNNNNNNNNNNNNNNNNNNNNNNNNNNNNNNNNNNNNNNNNNNNNNNNNNNNNNNNNNNNNNNNNNNNNNNNNNNNNNNNNNNNNNNNNNNNNNNNNNNNNNNNNNNNNNNNNNNNNNNNNNNNNNNNNNNNNNNNNNNNNNNNNNNNNNNNNNNNNNNNNNNNNNNNNNNNNNNNNNNNNNNNNNNNNNNNNNNNNNNNNNNNNNNNNNNNNNNNNNNNNNNNNNNNNNNNNNNUUUCCUACAUUCAUACAAACAAACAGACAAACGCGCGUAACGCCCCAAACUCAAUAUGGCCAUGUGUGAACGCCACGCACGCAUGCCUGACAUGUACGGCCCUAUGUACGGCUUUUUAUGAGGUAUUUGUACGGCAUGUUGUAUGUUCAGGUGGCUCGCGAGUCGCCCGAGAUGAAGGCGCUGCUGGGUCUUGAUCCCGCUGACCGGGUGAUGGGGUUUUUCACUGUGGGGCGAAUUGAGCGGGAGCGACUGGAGGGUUAUCGAGCCAGCCGGGGACCCUGGUUAGAUAAGGUCACUUGGAGGAGUUAGAUCUUUAGAACAACAAUUUAUUACCAGGAUAAUAAAUUUCUUCAACAUAUCUCGACAGUUUAGCAGGAUUAACGGAUUAUAACGGCAUUAACAAGCUAUUUUUUCUCGCGUCAGCUGGAGGUCAUGAUCUUGCCCGUCGUGGCCGGUGGAUUUUUAUGUCCCGUUUGUCGACGGAGUGGAGGCGGGCAAGACAAUAUACGGCACUGUACGGCAUAACUGUAUUGCUCUACUGGGUUGCAUUGCGUUCCAGGGUUGCGACGUGAGAUGCGGUGGGGCGAUGGAGGGCCACGCUGGUGGGGGCUUGGGUGUGUGUGUAUGUGUGUUAUUGUGGUUUUGGGGGAGGUUACGUUAUAAGGUUAUGGCAUACUAAUCGUUUGGAUGGUUUGCGCUGCGGUUCGGGCUUCGUGGCGGGUCGCGGCUAUCCGCUUUGUGCCACCGGCUGCAGGGUUGGGACGGGGCGAGCGCGUGUAACGGCAGCCGUUCACUUCGCCAGAUAGCCAGCAAGGGCUGCGGAGGUGUUUAGGUGCGCAACUCAAGGCUGGCUUGGGUUAUCCAAGCCUGAGGUCCAAAUGAUCGGUUGGGGCAAAAUUUCAUCAUCGUCAUUUUGAGGCGAUGUCAAAUAAUUCGUUUGGCACAGCCUAUCGAAUCAUUGAAAGCCGGAGGGGAUGGCUGUAUUGCCGGCUUCUAGAGCUACGCGAAAUAGCUGAUGGAUGGCGCCGCCAGUCGGCUUAGGAAUGGUGUGCUUUAAGCAUAUUAUAUUUGGAAGUCAGAAUCGGUAGCUGGCAUGGGCUCCUCUUUGGCGCUUGGGCUGUCGGGCUGGUUGGGCAGGCUGCCCCAUGGCACCUGACGGGAGGAUUGCGAUUUCCGUUGCCAGUUGUCGUAUCGUUUCACGGACUCACGGAGAUCAGGGUCAUUUUUGUUUUGCAUGAUGUCUCCAUUUGCAGUUGCAGUUGUAAGCAUUAAGCCGUCUCCUUAAUAAUAAACAACGGGACAACAGCCUGAAAGGACGGGGAUCCACCUUUUCGUAAUUCUUGCUAAAUGUUACAGCUUUCCACAAGCUUACAAUGCGUAUAGUAAUUGUUACGCCUUUGCAUAAGCCUUCCAUAAUCUGUUCAGCACCAUAAGGCUGGCAACUGCUUUGCCCUUGAAACCCUAACCAUAGUUGGGAUCGGAAGGCUUACGAUGUGGAAGGACAGUUAAUUCUAUUAUGAAGCAACAACAUAGCAGCGACCUGGCAUGGAGAUGAUGGCUGCAAUCCGGAGCUAGCGAGCCUAACGACCAAUUGCCCAAUUUAACCCAUGGCGCUGUCAAGCAAAAGCGGCGUCCUGCACGUUAGCUUCAACCAGGACUGCUCCUGUGUGGCACUUGGUAGUCAGCAAGGCGUGCAUAUCUACAACGUUGAUACGCACAAGCUGUGCUACCGUUACGCAAUUGGUGCUGUCAGGUGUGUCCGGAGUGAGGCCCGCGCCCUUGUCAGGACGCAGCCGUGAUGCGCUCCUUGAUGAUUGCAGUAACAUCAACCUUCCCGAUGUGCUGGUCCAUUCCUUAUUACCUCGCCAUACAGUAUCGUGGAGAUGCUCUUCUGCACCAGCCUCGUGGGCUUUGUGGGGGCCGGUGAGCUAGUUAGUUAGUUAGUAACUUAAACUGGCGAUACGGAAAGACACGUGUCGGACCCAGUUGCUGGUACAUGAUCGCGAGCCCAGGAAUGGCCCCCUGACUACGACAAGGAGGGGUGAUGCCGCAGGGUUCUGUGUGUAUCGUAUUGUAUUGUGUGUGUGUGUGUGUUUAUACGUUGAGCUGCUCUCCGGGGUUUGGUAGGGCCAGGGUACGGCAGAGUACGGCAACGAGUAUCACCAUCGCGUUGCAGUUGUUCCAAAAAUGCAGUAAAAAGUAAAAGCUCAACAAGUAUACUUUUAAACAUCCGCCCAGGGACGCAGAUCAUUGGCUGCGGCACUGCAGCCUGAUAAGCGCCUGUUGCAACCCUUCGUUUGCUAACCGCCGCAACCGCUAGAUGCUUUGAAACGUCCAAAUGUCGCCUCUCGUACAUCUGCUUCCUCCGGCGGUGUAGAGUCAGCCGCGGCAAGGUCUGUACGGCAGUCCCGAAGUCAUGGUGAUGUUAACUCCACCCCCUACCCCCUACCUGCCCCAUACCUAGGUGAGCAACCCGCCCUGACACCCCGCAAGCUGACAGUCAUGAACACGAGUGCAAGUCGGGUCAUCCAGGAGCUGUCGUACCCGAUAUCCGUACUAGCAGUACGGAUGAACCGGCAGAGGUACGACCGUGUACGGCACAUAGCGCGCGAAUGCUGGGAGAGAGAAAGUAGAAAGAGCUGUGUGUAGUACAUCCAUGUACGGUUCGCGCUUGUUUUCAAUACACAGGAACAGGGAAGAUGAAAUUGAUGCCGUGCCGACAGAAGGACGAGGAAGCCGGAAGAAAACCCCUUGUUUAUCAUUUAGCUUCCAACCGUUUUAACUGCCUCUCCCCUCCCCUCCCCUCAGGCUGGUGGUGGUGACCUCCCAAGCUGUUCACGUCUAUUGCUUGAGCAAGCUUGCAUGUCUGCGGGUCAUUGAGACGGAGAAUAACCCCGGGGUGAGUGGUAGGCUGGGUGGUUAGGUGGUUGGCUGGUGGUUGGUUGGGUGGUUAGGCGGUUAGGUGGAUCAGGGUGGAUGGGUGACUUGUUGCGAGUUUCCCGACCCGAGGCUCGUUGCCUAGGAAGCGUAUGUAUGUAUGUAUGUACCGCAUGUACGGUAAAUCUUAUAUCAAGUUUGGCUUCUCAGCGCAUAUCUGCUUCCUUGUGUGCCUGCCAGUCCGAACCCUUUAAAGCCUUUUAAAAACCCCUAAACCCCCCUAAAACCCUAAAACCCUAAAACCCCCUAAAACCCCCUCAACCCCCCCGGGUAUUCCCCGACGGUCACCUCAGGGGUGUUGUGCGCUAACUUGCUGCCACGAACCCAACCUCCUUGCGCUUCCCUCCUCGUCAAGAACGGUACGAACAGUACGGACUGUCGUACACACGACACGGGAGUAGAGUGUGUGUUGGGGGGGAGUAGAGUUGGUGGGUUGUGUGUGCCGCGGAUGCGUCUGUGUAUGUAUGCGGGGGGGGGGGAGGGCCGCUCUCUGGCUCGAUGGGCCCCAGCCAGCUGCCAAUCGACGCUGCCGUACGCCGCAGCAACACCUCUUGGUUCCGUUCCAGGCCGUGUGAUUCGUGCUGAAUCCCGUGCCGUGCCGUGUCGUGUCGUGUGUUUUCUUCCGCACCGUAUCCCCCACUCCCCGCUGCUGAGCUGCACGGAGAAGGCCCCGUACACACAUCCCGCAUCCACAUAAGCUCAUCCAACCCGUACUCCGUACACGGCCGUCCUCUUCCCUUCAGGGCACCGUCCGUAUCUACGACCUGACCCAGGAGGGCCAGGGUAAUGUGCUGAGCGAGGUUCAGGCCCAUCAGUCGCCCGUGGUGAGCCCGUGGUGAGGGGGUUUGUGUGUCUGUAUGUCUGUAUGAUAUGUGGAACAGGGGGCCAUAUCUUCAUCCAACGGCCGCUACCCGGCAGACCCACGCCUUCCCGGGUAUUUCGGGACACCCUCAUCUAGUCACCCUAGUCAACAUCUCAGUGGAUCGCUCAGGUUCCGCACCCACCACCGGCAUCCAACGGAAUCUGCCGGAUCAACUGCGGCUCAUCUCCGUUCCUGGUCAGCUCGCAAGUCAACUUUAUCCCAGGUCACCACCGUCCAUCGACUAGGGGCACUUUUACUCGGAAGGAUAUUUGGACCCCGACAGGUCUCGAUCCCGGAACCUCCGGGGGCAUAAGAAUGUGACCUAUGUAUGCAUGCAAGUAUGUAUGUAUGUGUACGAGAGAGAGGAGUCCGGGGAGUGCGGGGGAGGUGAGGUAGGAAGGCGGGUAAACAAGGGAGACCGUUUGAGGUCCUGAUGUCCAACAUCACCGGGCACGGGCAGGCGGUUGCAAUGGCUGCAAGCGGCACACGGGACGGCGUCCCCACCAUCGCCACCGUCACCAUUAUCCUCCCCUCUCUACACCCCAUAGCUCCCAUUUCCCCCCCGGCCACUCACCCCCCCCAUCCCGAGGUCGCCGCCUUCAAGGACACCUUUUGGUCAGUUCUACGUCUGGUACACUCUUGCCCUGGCAGCAGCUUCACUCGUUCACGUGGUUCGUCUUUCCCCCCAGUCCCCCGACCCCUCACCCCCCCGACCCCUCACCCCCCCGACCCCUCAUCAACACCCCCGACCACUGCCACGCGCUGCAGACGGUGCUUGCCUGGAGCUCCGACGGCGGCCUCCUCGCCACCGCCACCGCCAAGGGGACCCUCAUUCGGGUCCACCGCAUGCCGCGGGCAGCUCGCAGCCACAGCUUCCGACGCGGCGCCACGUCAGCCACCAUUCAGUCGCUGGCAUUUGGACCCGUGGGUCUGCCCGUACAGCUGCUGGUGGCGGCUAGCAGCCACGGCACGGUGCAUGUGUUUCGAUUGGAGGUAAGAGGGAGGAGGAGGAUGUACAGAGGGGAAGAGUGAGAGGAGGAAGAGGGAAAACGGGGAAGCAUGUAUGUAUGUAUGUAUAUAUGUAAGUAUGUGUAUUUCUCGGGGUAAGGCUUCGAGAGGGGUGAGGGCCGACCUGGUGGUGGGCGGCUGGUCACAACGAGGAAGGCUCACCCUCCAGAUGGUGAGGAGGUAAUCCUCCCCCAAAGGGCCAAAUAGACAUUAAUCCGGACGGACGGAAACAUAGGAAAUAUACAAUUCCUCUGGAUCCGCGGAUUCCGUAAGUACGCCUCUUGCCGUACUUAUGGAUCCGAUUCUGAUCCUCUCUAUACCGCUGCCUGCUUUUACUUGUAAGAACAAACAGCCUGUGCCCCAAUCAAUCGUGUCCUCUUCCGUCCUAUUAAGGAACUCCUGUUCGUUAUUAUAUUUCCUUCAUACGUUGUGUUGCCUGUUCAGGAUCCGGAGCCCUGCGGCGGCGGACUGCUUCCCAGGCCCGGCGGCUCAGUCGCAGGCGGGUUACUUUCCGCCGUUGUGAAGUACUCCUCGCAGAUGGUGGGGGACCUGGUGAGGAGAGAGCUCCAGGAGGGGGGGAGGGGAAGGGGAAAAAGGGGGGCUGUAGGGGUGGGGGAGGGGUUGGGGUUGGGAGGGGACCGGGUCGCAUGCUGCGAGACGGGCACGGGGGGAGAGGGGUUUCUCGGGAGGCCCCCGGGGUUCUCGGGGUGGCGAUAGCGGGUUUUAGGGUUUUACACGUAGCAGUACAAGUUACUCGAACAGCUACUCUGCGGGGAGGGGGGAAAGGCGGGUUUUGAGGGGGGGGGUGUGCUGGGGGAGGGCAUGGCUGGCGAACUGUGUGGGUGGCUUCGUGUGUUUGGCCCAGUGGAACCCUGGGUGGGGUCACGUCGUGGCGGGAGCGCAGGGCAGCAAUAAGGCCCUGUCGGGGCUGCUGCAGUUGCAGUUGCAGUUGCAGUUGCUGCACAUCACCCCUUUCAACGCCCUCUUCAUUUCCCCCCAUCACCUCCCGCUAUCGACCCUCGGAACCGCCGCCUACUGCUGCUGCUGCCGCUGCUGCCAAACACAAAACCACCAUUUCAACAGCUACCGAGGACUGCUGACAGUUGCUACUGCCGCUACUGCUCCCUCUGCAGGUGGAGCCUGCUCGCAAUAUCGCCACCAUCCGCCUGCCGCGGUCAGUGGGUAUCGCUAUCUGCGCCUUCAGGAGUCAGCCAGGCAACUGCUACUGCUACAGCGCAUCGCCGGAGCUGGCAACAGCCGCAGUAGCAACUACAGCUACAGCCACAAGCCCGGCGGAAGCGAUCCACCCAAACUCCAGGGUAACUGUUGCGGGCCCGCCGGGGCCGCCGGGGUGCGACCCGGGAUCAGCCGCCGCCGGAGCUGCUGUCGUACAGGCGGAGCUCGGAUCAGGAGAUCGUGGUGAAGCAAAAUCUGCCUGCGGGGGACGUAGCGCCUGGGGGGGUACGACAGGGGGUAGCGGCGGCGGCUGGGGCGGUGUUCGCUGCGGGACGGCGGGUGGGGGUGAUGCGGGUGCGGGUGUGUGUGGCGGCGGCAGGUGGCAGGUGGGGGAGGAUGUGCGUGCUACGAUUAUGGUGGCGACGCAGGAGGGCUUGCUGUACGAGUACACGCUGACGGACCUGCUGAGUCAGCAGGGCCCGAAGUGCAACCUGGACGGGGAGUGGUCUAUGGUGGGCAGCGGCAGCAUAUUGGGCUAGGGAUAGGGCCGAGGCACACACCCGGCGGCUCUGAGGGGACCUAAUUCCAGUAGAAAUAAUGGAAAACAUACAUAUGUACAUACACACAUUGACACACACAUACACACAGUGCAGAUCAUAAAAACACACAGAUACAACGGAAAAAGCCCUAAAGUACGGGCCUAGAAGUACGGCAGAUUCAACUUGUAGAUACGAUGAAUCUGCUUUCAAGGAAUUCACACUGCCUAUAAAGGUGAUCGAAGUGUCGUACGUUGGCUGGUACGAGGGCUCUGUACGACCCCAGGACGUUUGCACCCUUCCGACGUGGGUUGGGAGAAUGCCGGUGGGGGGCGUGUUGUGGCCGUCGGGCAGCGCUGUGCGGUGAGCGCUCUCCAUAGGGGAUGGGAGGUGGCCCUGCUAGAUCUGCCUCCUUUCCUCUGAGGAAAGAAGACGUGUGUAUGAUAGUUCAACUGAAUUGUACGGUGUGCGCACGUGCAGCGACAGACACAUGUGUGUGUAUGUGUGUGUGUGUAAUCGUGCACGUGUGUCACUGUGGGCGUGUGUGCAUGUUUGUACAUAUGUACAUAUAUUAUAUUUGCCGAGAUACUCCCGCAGCACAUACAUACAUACAUUGAUGACCUCCCGCGUACCCGCAUCAAUACCAAUACAACGUCCAUGGCCCCCUCCCUCGGCUUUUACGGACACACACCCGCACUUGUGUGCGGAACUUGUAACUUGUACAUACUCUGCACACCAGGUCAGGCCAGCAGCGGGUCUACCGCCGCCUCUACCUCUACGCACGUACAUACAUACAUACAUACAUACAUACAUAUAUACAUACAUACAUACAUACAUACAUACAUACAUACAUACAUACAUACAUACAUACAUACAUACAUACAUACAUACAUACAUACAUACAGCCCUCCCAGGAGGCAGCGACAGGCGGCAUCACCCGGAAGCAGCUGUGGUUGGUCCAAGCCCCGACCGGCUGCGAGCAGGCCCCCUGGGAUGUGAUCGCCCUGGCGGCCCUGUCUGCUAUGGAGGUAGGCAGGUGCUGCCUGCGAGCAGCCGCAAGACGACUGGAAAGGGCGGCUAACCCCGCGACAGAACAGCCAGAGCAAGUGCAACAGAUCCAGGCGCAAGGGCCCCAACAGCGGCGGAUAACGGACUUCUUUCACCUGGCCAACGGAGUGAGACCGCACGAGGGGCCGCCGCUGAACGCGCCGGUACUCGAGGAUCAAACGCAGGGGCCCAUCGCGGGACCGGGGACGGCAACAGCAGCAGCAACAGCAGCAGCAACAGCAACAGCAGCAGCAACCCCCCUGGAAUACGCCCGCGCUCGGGCAGUAGUGGACUUCUGGGCGCGCUUGCGCUCUUUCACCGCGCUCAAUGUCCCAAGGCGGGGCUGGGACGGAGUGGGACCCCACCACCCGAUCCUGUCAAUCGUCGGGGGAGCACUGUGCUGCGCGGAGGCGGUGGACAUCACGACCUAAUGGUCAAGCGGACGCGGCGGGAGCUGGAGUUUAGGGGAUAAGGGGAUAGGGUGUCGAGGCGCGGAGGGGGGAUUUGAGGUGGUGGGGGUGGUAGGGAGGUCGAGAGGGAGGUUGAGGGGAAAGGUUGCGAGGGGGGCGGGAUCAGGGAUGGGGCUUGGGGGGGUGCCGCGCAAGGGGACAUGGGGGAGGGAGGGUUUAUUUGCCUGGGGGAGCCGUACCGGCGGAGGGGGGGGAUACCGGGGAAAGGGCGGGGAGAGCCGGGGGGGAAGGGGAAGAGGCAGAGAGAGCACCAAGAGGAUGUAGGGUUGAGGGGUGGUGAGUGGAAACAGGUGGCCGUAGCGAGGGCGCGGAUGAGGGGGAGGUGGGCACCCAGAAGGAGGGGCCGUACUCGAAGGUGCGCGCGUGGUGCAGGACUAGGUUCUUCAGGGUACGAGACCGGGUUUUUCGUGUUGCGGCGUCUAGGUGAGAUAGGAUCUUGGGAACCAGCCGUCUUGGUAGAGCGGUAUUGGGGGGGCGCCGAGCUGGCUACCCUCCCCCCCUGUGGUUUCCGGAGGCUUGAUCGCCCUGCGUUGCCGCAGGGUCUUCCCGUUUGAGUACUUUUCAAGUUAGACCCAGUGCUGUGGAAGGGCGCGGACUUGUGCGGUGUUACCCCCCCGACGGGUGCUAUCUCCCCUGGACUAGCCCAGGGAGGGAGAGGCGGAGGAGGGUAGUAGUCUCAGGAGGCUGUUUGGCGUCUUGUGGUGUGAGCUCUUUGCGCUCUUUUUUUUUGCGUGAGGAUUUUUGAGCUUGGUGACCUCCCCAGCCCGGGAUGACUCGUCGGGCUCCCGGUCGCCCAGGUCCUGGUUGCGAGCUCUCUGAGAUGCUCGGUUCGUUCGGUCGGCAGGAAGAGCCCCCCAGUUGCGACUUCGUUUAUGUUAGGAGACCAACGGGCAUAGAUCCCGUCUAGUUGGAGCGCCAAACGAGCGCUGUUGCGUGCCGGCCGUCGUUUCCCGUGCGGCCUGACCCGGGGGCGGAGUGCAUGAGACUAACCAGCCGUAUGCACCCGCCCCUCGCGCUGUGCUUCGGCCCUGGGCCCCCGGCUUUUCAGCCCACAGUGUAAUCAACGUCAUACAUACAUACAUACAUACAUACAUACAUACAUACAUACAUACAUAUGGGCUUGACAGAGAGGCUGCUGGCGCUUGGUAACUAUGUCCGUGUCCCCAGUUCCCCCGUGGAGGAUGUGGGUCCGCUGCUGCGCAGGGUUAAGGCGACACAGCAAGGCCACCAGCUGCAGCAGAGGACCGGCUCUGUUCAGUCACCGAUCCCCAGCCUCAGCUAUACCUCCUUCCGGGAGAAGCUCGCUGCCAUGUGCAGCGCCGUGGGCAUCAAGCGCGGCAUCAUGCCACACUCCAUGCGCAUCGGGGGAAACAGCGCGGCAGCAGCCAGAGGGGUAUCUGAAGAAGCCCGCAAGGCCCACGGUCGCUGGAAGACGGACGCAAUGGUGCAGCUAUAUACCCGGAUGGAAGACGAUGCCGCACUGGAAACCACGCGCAACCUGGGCCUCGCCUGAGUCAGAGGGCCCCUCCUGCUAUCUUUUCUGUCUGCAGUAGUGUAAGGCCCUUGGCAGCCCCGGUUUCGCCUCGCCCUGUCCUAUCCGGCACCCCGAACGCAACCGUACAGCAAGCCAUGAAGGCUAUAGGACAUAAAUAACGGAUAGGGAGGCCAUGAGACUUGAGGCAAAAAUUGUGAAUAGGUGCAGACCAAUGGUAAAUGCCUUACGGCGAGGUAAGGACACUAAGCUAAGGAUUGUAUGAUGUGUAUGAAGGGUGACUGUGUGAGUCGUUUCAGUAACGGCAGUAGUUCCCGGUCAUGCAUCCAUUUUUGCUCCGACUGCUAUUCCAGCCUGUGUUUGUAAUACUGCACGCCUUGUGAGUUUGGCAGCACUUGGAAAAUAAAAACAACGUCCCAAAAAUACGUAAAAGUGGCGGUAAAGCAAAUGGCAAUCGGUGUAGAUCGUCGUCUUUCUAGGCCAUCUAGGUGGCUCAAGCAACUAUAUGAUCGGAUAAUCCAGAUCGAAAGGGCCAAGGUUGCGCUGGUGGCCGUUGCGUUUCUGCGAGCUUUGCGUGUCUGCCCACAGUAAACAACCGCUGUAAUGGCCAUUAAGUAUCAACGUAGCACGGCAAGCAUUACCUGCUCGGCGAUGUAGGAAUGCAAACCCCGUUGAUGCGUACGGUAAAGGACUUUAAACUACCAAUGCCGUGGCAUAUUUUGCAUGUCAACAUUAUGUUUUUGGUGUUUAGCCAAACAGGCAAACCUGGACAUUUCUGUAUGUGAACAGCUGGCAGUUGCCCCAGACCCACAACUACAGUCCUUGCAUCGACGCCCAGCAACUCAAGAUGAACUUUAACAGUAAAAGAACUGUGACUGAUGAACAGAAUGAGCGUCACAAGCGACUCCUUGCGAAUAUCCUCAGAGAGGAGGGGAACAAGAGCUGCGCGGACUGUAAGACCCGUAACCCAACCUGGGCCAGUGUAAAUCUGGGUGUCUUUGUGUGCUUGACCUGCUCGGGUAUACAUCGGUCGCUCGGCGUGCAUAUCUCCCAAGUAAGGUCGUGCAAUUUGGAUACGUGGCUCCCGAAGCAAGUAGAAUUCUGCCGGAUUAUGGGCAAUGUUAAGGGCAAUCGCUAUUGGGAAGCGCGGUUGCCUAAGGACUUCAGGCGCCCUCCCAGCGGCAACCCCAAUCCGGAGCUUUCCGCCUUCAUCCGUGCGAAGUACGUGGACCGUGCCUUUGCGGCCACUGACGCAACGCCGCCCACGAUCGACAACUAUCUAAACCAUCCAUAUGGCGCCGAUGUCGCGGACUCUGUACACUCGCCGCCAGCGGCACCUGCAGCGUCAUCACAGCCAGCACCUGCGCCAUCAGCCGUGCCGCGCACUAACGCGGCCGAUCUCUUGAACGGUACACCUAAAAAGCAGUCGCAGCCCGCUGCCACCACGCUGACCAUCGACCUGCUCGGCGGCUUUGACGACCUUGGCAGUGUUGCGCCAAUGCCCACCUCACCCCCCGUGCCGCCGGCCAGCUCCGACCCCUUCGGCUCCUUCGUGUCCGCGCCACCGGCCACCGCUGCCAUCCCGGCGGCUACAUCCCACCUAAACGCGCUGGAGUGGACGGACUUCUACACCGCAGCUCCGGCCGCCUCCUCUUCGCCGGCCCUGCUACAGCCCACGGCAACAACACCUACCGUAAGCAUGCCGCAGCAACCUCCGGCCGCCGUUGCUGGCGCCGUGGCUGCUGCCGUUACUCUCGGCCACCACCGCAGCCACUCCAUCAGCGAAGGCGUAAGCGUCAACCCCAUCAGCAGCAGCGGCAACGGUAUGGCCGCCCAGACCUCGCGCUUUGCCCACACCAAGACGCUCAGCUCAAACCAGCCGGAUCGCGACCUGCAACGGCACCACCCCAACGGCUCCGCCGCCUCUGCGUCCUCCGGAAACCACUACCAGCCACACAACCUCCAGGACAACCACCACCACAACCACCAUAACCACCACCACAACCACCACCACAACACGCAGCCACGGGGACCUCAAGUCCACACAGGACAGAAUGGCAGCGGCGGUGCCGUGUACGACCCUUUCGGUCCAGCACCGGAUGAUCUGCUGGCGGGCCUGACCAUCCACCACGUCAUGGAAUCCAUGACGGCGCCCGCAGCAGGAGCAGCAGCGGCCACAUCUGGCAUCGCGGACGACGACCCGUUUCAGUUUAGCUCCUCGUCCUCCGCCGCCACCUCCGCGCAAGGCGACGGCAAGCAGUUUCAUGCGCCGCGCAACAGCUUCCACAGGCGGCGUCCGUCCUCCAAUCCGAAGGGGUCUGAGGAGAUCCUGCGGCUGUUUGACACGGAGCCAUCGACGGGCGCUGGGGCUGGGCUGGGUGGCGCCAGCGGUGGCGGCAGCAUGGGCGCGGCUGCGGUUGGGCUGACGGCCCCGGCGGCGGCAGCUCCGGUGGCCCACUCGCCCUCGGACGAUCCGUUCGGGGAUUUCCUGAACGUGGGCGGCCACCCCGUCGCCGCGGCGCAGAACAGUGGCGGCGGCGGUGUUCAUGGCCACCAUUUCCAACAUGAGCUGUUGCAGCAGCAGAAACAGCAGCAGAAGCAGCAGUUGUUGCUCGAGUCGCACGCCACGAUGAACGGCGGGCUGAUCAGUAGCGGGGUCGGCAGUUUGUUGUGAUGGCGGGGCGUGGAUUUGCGGAUGUCUGUGUGAAUGUGCGGGUAUGUAAGUAUGUAUGUAUGACCGGCCGUUGCUCUACUGUUACUGUACUGGGCUGCACUGCAAAUCUGCGUUGCUUCCCCCCUCUCUCUCUCCCUCUCUCUCCCCCAGCGCGGAUGUCCAUUACUGGGAGGUAAGAUUUGGUUGAACUGAGAACUGUGAGGCGUACCAGCAUAUAUGUAUGUAUGUAUGUCUCACGUGUGUGUCCAGCGAUGGGCGUGGUCCUGUAAUUACCCCGUCACCCCGUUGGGGGUGGAGAGGUGUACUUAAAGGCGAUGGUGAGGGGGGACGUGGCGGUGAACUGCUCAUCUUUUGCUGGAGGGCUGGCGAGCUGUCCUGUCCCAGAAUGCGCUGCUCGUUGCUACACAGCAGGAGGGCCUCAGAUUGUGGCGGUUUUUUUCCCGGAUUAAGAAAUGGCGGACACUUUCGUUUUACGACACAAAACACACACAUACGCGCACACACACGAUGGACCUUGCAUGUACCCGUGUGGGAUAUGCGUCCUGAGAACGUUCAGCGCGUGGGAGCUCGUGAAUGCACUCGAGGUUUGCGUCGUGUUGGUUGGUGGCGGUAGCGGCAGCGACGGGGGCCGGGGCGUUUGAGACGCUGCCUUAGUCCCUGGACGUGCAUGUGGCGUAUGUGUGUGCGUGUGUGACACUGAGCAGAACUAUGGCCGUGGCGGAGGGGGUUGAGGCGAGAACCGCUGGCGGAUGAAGGAGAUACACGAGAGAUGCGGAGGAGGUGUUCCCGGACUGGUGUUGUUCUCCUCGAGAAUGCGAGUCAAACCAGCGGAUCAGACCACCGCCCGCUCGAACCGGAAACCGGAACGCGGAGGGACGGACCCGGCGGGGGGCCUUGACCCCCUCCGCCCCACCCCACACACGCACUCGGGCAAGGAUAUAAUAGGCGCACUGGUGGUUGAAACUCGAAACCCCGUCCAGACGCAUGUGUGUAACCGGAGGACGGCAACUGAACGGGUGCUAGCAAGCUAGCUAGCUAGCUUGCUCGGUUGGUUGGCUGGGUUUGCCACGGAGCGACAGAGGGCUUUCAGAGCAGUACUCUACUACUCGACAGGCGACCGGGGCGCCCAUGGCUGCUCUGCUGCACGAGUGCUGACCAAGAAAGAAAGAUGAUGGAAUUCGUAGUAUUGGGGAAAACUUACCUGGGUGGGCGUGCGUGUAUGUACGUAUGUAUGUAUGUGCAGUGCUUGACGAUGGAGGAUGAGGGGUUGCAUGUGUGCCUGUCGUCUGUCCGUCUAUCUGUCUGCCGGGUCAUUUGUGGCUAGCUGCCGUUGCAGAUGGGUGGUGCUCGGUUCCCUGUUACGGAGGUCGUGUUGGUCCGCUCCUCCGGUGCCUCCCGCUACACUCCAAAUAGCCAUGAGCGGGUACAACCCACACACGGAAUCACCGCCAGCAGCUGCCGUGCCGUGAGAGACCUCCCCCUCCGGGCGGGCUCUUGUUGCUAAAAGAAGGGGCAAAGGCCGCGGGUUGAGGGCUCGUAAUCGUAUUUAAAAGUUGACAGAGGGGCGGUGGAUUGACGGCGGGGGCGCCACAGCCGGGCAGAGGGGGUUGCGUGUAAUUCUCGGCGGAGGAGAGGAGGGGAGAGGGAAGGGGCCUCUAUUCCACAGGCCCUGGAACUACUGGGCAUGAGUGAGAGAGUGUGGAGGGAGAGAGGGAUACGGUAUGGUACCCUGACCUGCCUGCGGGGAGUAGCAGCGGGGAGGGGAAGUCGUGUGUCGCAGUGCAGCCGCGUGGCCGCCGCUGCUGCUACUGCUGGUAGGGGUGGCGGGGAUGAUGGCGAUGAAAGUUAAAUAUUGGGUUUGUAGCGCCGAGGCCUAUUGCUUUCGUUGGCAUGUGGGUGCGCCGUGCGCCAGGGAGGAUAAAGGGGGGGAAAGGGUCGACGCGCCUGAGGUGUUUUGUGGGUGUCGUGAGGGUGCCUGAUAUUCCUAAAUUUUUGUGGAGGGGACGGGAGGGAGGGGGCGUUCUCAUUGCGUGUGUGGGUAUGUGUGGGUAGGUGGGGUGGGGGUACACCUCGAAUGCCUGGAACUGUGUGUCGACUUUAGGUUUAAAUAGGGCCCCCGAGUCGUGUGCGGUACUGCGUACGAACAAGAGGACCAGCCUAGAGGGCGUGCGGGAGCUGUUUCCUCCCAGCAGCGAGCUGCAUUCCUCCACUGUGCGGACGAGUGUUGUUGUGAGAUGUGCCUGGCCAUUCUUGCCUUGGCCGAUCCUUGCCGUGUUCGCUGUUUGCGUGGUUGGCGGCUAUUCGGGGUCCACAGCCGUGACCACGUGUACGUGUGCAUGAUGCGUUACAUCACUGUGCUUUUCGACCGCAUAUUGUACUGUGUUAAUUACGACUACUUUUUGCAUGGGGGCGGGACGUAAGGUGGGGGUGAAGGUGGGGGAGGUGCGGCCUUCCUGCGCUUUUCGUUAAUCGGUUGCCGCUUCUGUGGCGGAAGCCCACACCUGGCCUCAAUUUUUUCCGACUACAGCCAAGUCCGUUCCGGAGCCGAUAUGGGAGACGCGACCGUGACCAAGCAGCCCCCUGGGCCCAUCUGGCGGUGUAGGGUCACUCCUACCUCCUUAGCAGCCCGUAGCUGAACGAAAACCACAACCAAUAAUUUAUCCUGGGACGGUGCGUGGAGGCGUGUGCAAGUGUGGAAGUGAUCCCGCAUUACAUACACACACACACACAGAGAGAGAGAGAGAGAGGGACUAGGGAUCAAACACAUACAUGACAUACAGGGGGUUUGCAUCUUACACCAGACUUCGAAUAACAAUAAUCGAAUCGUUAGGGCGCUGCGGUUGACGAGUGCGAGUUUGAAAGUUGGUGGCCUGCCAGGCUUAGGGAGCCCUCCGGCCGGCGAGGGUGGGAGCCCUCAGGACCGGGUGGCUCUCGCCGCCUUCACUCUCCACCGCCACCUCUCUCCCCUGCUGGUGUUGGGGGCUGCCAUGUGCAGCGCCAGCUAAGCGGGUAGCGACAAACCGAGGGAAAGCAAAUGCAAAAAGUCGGGGGAGUGGAGUUGAGUGCGAAGGGCCUAGCUGCAAUCAAGGAAAUGACGACGGCACAGGCGCCUGACGCCCUGGCUGAUGACACAGACGACGACAUAUCCCAGGGGAGGAGUUAAAUUUAAAUGUCAAAAGGGUCCUGAUGUGCUUAAGGCUUUUGUGGAAAUCGGGAUGAGUGCGAGCGUGAUCUGAUCGUUUUCGACGGGACUUCGAAGUUGACGCGUUCGGCAUAUGGAUGGGUGUGAUUGUCAGGGAUAGGGAGACACGGAGAGGAGGCACGGGAGCAAAGGCUAUGGUGGCUGUGGUGGUCAGACUCCCGCAGUCGUGUGGAGGAGAUAGUGUGUUUGGUUCUCCUACACAGCCCACAUCGGGUGCUCGUGUCUACAGCAGUCUUGACGCCAUGAUGCUCCCGCGCCGGCGGAAAAGCAAAUCGCUUCCGACACCGGAGGACCCAGGUGUGCGACUGUCUUCUGUAAUAAAGUUGUCUGGGGUGUAUGCAAUCCCUGCAUCCUUAUUGCAAUCCUAAUCAAAUCCAGGGAGGGCUUUCGCCGGUGACAGGGGGUGUCGCAAGGACAAGAGCUUUGGACCCAUCUUAACGACGUACUGACACUCAUUUGACAGGUGGUCCCUUAACGUUAUCGGACGUGGAGGGCGGAUGGACAGACAACAGUCGGGAAAGGUGUAACGUGUUUCCAGAGGUGCCCCGACCAGAACCAGCCUCCCCUCAGCACGGAGCCCAAUGAUGUAUGGGCCCUGACCAGAGUUCAAUAGUGUUAGCAGGAGCUAUGCAAAAAAACUACGAGAGAGAGAGAAAAGAAAGUCCAUCUCUAUACACACGUCCUGCCGCCGCCAGAGCGGGCCUUCUUCCCUCACAGCAACAAAACCCCAAAAAUGAUGUAAGAUACUAGAACAGGGUUUGAGCGGUUCCUUCCCAACGAUCCCGCUGUUAUGAUCAAGUACCCAGUCUCUCUCGACACGGAGACCGCACGCAUUUAACGGCACUGCCCAGCUCACGACACCGAGGAGGACCAUUUUCAGUUCGUUAGUUCGUAGCGACAAAUGGGUUUCUGGGCUUUUUUUAUCUCAUAAAACUUGUAACGCUUAGCAGAGGUAUACAGGCAGAAAGUGUAUACCUCUUUCGAGCGGCCCCUAACGACCCAAAAGCUUUCCCCGACCCUCGGCCUUUAUCGAGAGCUCGCUGACUGAUGGCUGAUAUGUUGCGGCCGACGGGGCACUUACACUCCAUCAUAAAAGUAAAAUAAUCGUCGGCUCGCCGCACUCGCUCUGCCGUCGGCAUGUUUCCCGGUACCCUGCGAUUAGGCCUCAUCGAUUUUCUUGCACCUCACUCGCCCUAGCCUCCUAGCCUGCCUCGCCGUACCACCGCCCGGUAACGAAGGGUAGCCGCAGCCGCAGUGAGUAACACCGCGCACUGCAGAGCACCUUCCUUUGUUUCGUUCCGCUCCGCAAUGGGGCAAUAGCAACAAAUUGUGGAGAGAUUCAUUAUUACGGAAGGAGCAUUUCUUCCUAACGGAACGCGGUGGUCCCGAACGGGUUAUCGCUGUCCCCGAACGGGUUGUCGUCCUCAAACCUGGUAGCUGCCGGCGGCGGCGGCGGCGGCGGCGGCGCCGUCGCCGGAGUCACAUGUUGCUGCGCCGGGGGCUGCGGUGGCAGCGAAAAAGCGGGGGCCGUACCGAAUGCAUUGUCACCAAAAAGCUCUGCUGACACCGCCGCCGUGCCUACACCGGCGGCGGUGUCGGUGGUGGCGGCAGUGGUCGGCGGCGGCGGCAGACCCACUGACGCCACUGUGGUGGUGGCGGCAGUGGCGCUGGCGACAGCCGCCGCCAGAGAUGGCGGCGGCCCCCCGGCGAAGGGGUUCUCCUGGAGUGGUCCGCUGUCCAUCGGCGGCAAGGCCGUCGGCGCACCGCCGACGCUACUCGACCGAGAGUCAGCUGCUACUGCCGUCGCCGCCGCCACUGCGGCGGCAGACUGAGCGGCAGCAAAUGCACCUUCGCUAAAUCCCCGUGCCGAAGCCGUCCCAAACGCAUCAUCACCGAAAAGGCUGGGCGUCGUCGCGAGCGGCGCAUGUUGUUCCGCCGGCGGCGCGGCGGCGCCAGCGGCAACAACUGCAGCAGCGGCGGCAUGCGUUGGCGCUGGCAUCCCUGCGGUGAAGGCGUUGCCGCCAAAGUCCGCGUCUGCGGCGCCAGAAAGGGCCGACGGCAUGGCGGCGGCGACGGCGGAGUCCGACGGCGCCGGUACAAACGUUGGCGUGUCAACCGACCGCUGGCCUUCGCCCCCAUCUCCAAAGCUAAAGGCCGAGCCAAAACGGUUCAUUUGCGUGUUGGGGAGGUCCUCCAUUCCGCCGCCGCUGUAGGACUGAUGUGGCGAGGUCUCGGCGGCCUUCAGCGGCGCCGCCGGGUCUAUGGCGAAGGAGCUAGGCGCGUGGAGACCCGGCGGCGGUGCCGCUGUCGCUGCCGCAGGCAACGCAGCGGGUGCACCAAAAGCCGGUGCAUCAUCAAAGCCAAAGUCAAUGGGUGCCGACGGCGCAGCUGCGCCAGGAGGAGCCGGCGGCGGCGCUACGUUGCUGCCGCUUGCGGGUAAUCCGAAAGCAGGCGCAUCGCCAAAAGCCAGCGCGUUGUCAAAACCACCUCCGUCGCCACAGUUCACCGAUGCCGCCGCAGCAAAGCCGUUAGGCAGCACCUUGGCGGCUGCUGUUGCUGCUGCUGCCGGGACUGAAGGCUGUGUUGCAGCGGCAGGGGCCGCCCCCAUGGCCGGCUUGGGCGCCGCCGCCGCCGCCACCGCCGCUGCCGCUGCCCCGGCGACGGCCUUGACGAUGGGUCGCGGCGCGUCGGCUCCAGGCAGGGCGUUGACGAUAACGAAGCCCCGUGCGUCCACAUCGUCGUCGGGCCAGUCGAUGACGCCUGUGGAAUGCAUAUGUCAGAACGGACACACAUUGUGUGUGUAUGUGUAUGUGUAUGUGUAUGUGUAUGCGCUUACAAGUAUUAUCUAUCUACCAUAUAACAGUGCCACCUCACACACACCCGAAAUCCCCCCACUUCCCCCAUACACGCGGCCCCUCACCCCUCCGCGGGAGAGCGCUUAGGCGGUCUUUCCGUUGGGACUGGACAGCAGCCCUGGCCAGUGUCAGGCCCGGUCAGAUACUUGUAACCUUCACACACACACACACAUAGACACGCACGCACUUACCUGCUGCCACCUCGUCCGCCCACACAUGUAAGCCCUCCAGGGAGGCAGGCAACGCCUCGAACGGCACUGUCGUACCCAUGCGCUGCGCCAGGCCGUACAGUCCGCGGUACACGUUGGCAGCCCGGGACAGCAACGUGGGCAGUGCGGCCGCACUCCCGGACGACCGGGCCUCCUGGAACAGCUCGGGGGGGCGGGGGGGGGGGGGAACACCAUAUCACCAUUAUCAUCGCCAUUACCAUACAUACAUACACACAUACAUGCACACAUGCAAAUAUCACAUACAUACAUACAUGCAUACAUGCAAACACCACCAGCACUCGGAACGAACAGAUCCGCAAGGAGCCUCCACCGCUACAACCGCGACCGACAGUCAGGAAGAGCCAGGAGGACAACACUGUCCAUCCAUAAGCCCAUCCACAUACCUUGAGUUCCUGCUGCAGCGACUCCAGGGAGGACUCACACGCCUCCACCUCCGCCGCCGCAUCCCGGUCCGCAUCCGCCAGCUCCCCCAGCUUGGCUCGGACCGCCUCCUGCUGCCGCCUAAGACCGUCAACCUGCAGGGGUGAGGAGAGGGAGAGGGAGAGGGUGAGGGUGGGCGGAUGGAGAUAUCGGNNNNNNNNNNNNNNNNNNNNNNNNNNNNNNNNNNNNNNNNNNNNNNNNNNUUGAGGAUGGAAGGGGUUGGGAGGGGAAGAGGGGAGGGGAAGAGGGGAGGGGAAGAGGGGAGGGGAAGAGGGGAGGGGAGACAGCGGAAAACUGACAGCGGGAGCAGGUAAGAUUAUGAGAUUGAUGAUGAGGAUGGCAAUUCGAAUGAGGAAGAAAGAGAAGGCCCUCACCUUUCUCUUUUCAACACCCACUGCCACCAAUUCACCUAACACCACCAGCACACACACCAACACCCAAAACCCCCACUGCCACGCCUCCCCCAGCCCCCCACCUUGGCCAUCUUUGCGUUCCUCGCCGCCUCCAGAGCGCUGCACCUGUGUGUCAGUUCGCUCAGCUCCCCCUCCAGUCGAGCCACGUCAGCAGGACCCAUGCGCUCAGCCGCCGCAACCUCGCUCUUUGGGGAAGGGCGGGGAGGGGGAACGGAAUGGAGGAGGUGGGGAAGGCACACACACACACACACACCACAUCAACACAGGAUCCCCCCUCCCCAGAGCUCCCCCUUCCCAACCCCUUGUGUAGAUGUCGGCACUUAAGGAUUCUUUGAUCUCUCACCGUACUGGAUUUCCCCUCCCAAAUCCCGACGGGUCCCGAAUGGACUGGACUGGACCUGUUGGCUGUUGGCUGCAACUCCCACUUUCAACUCCCCCAGGGCCCUCCCCCAGGGCUCCCCCAAUCCCGCAAGCCCAGAUAGACCGCCCUCGCGCUAACUCACUCAGCCCCUGAACACCCAAGGGUACUUUCCAUUGCCUCUCCCACACCCAAACACCCACACGCACGCACAUAGACACCCAAACACACGCGUACAUUAAGUAGAGGCAAACGUACAAACCCCUCCCCGCCACUUCCUCCCCUCCAUCCCCAGCACGGGCCCCCCAACCUCGAGCCUCUUCAUCUUCUCCUGCAGCUCCCCCUUCUGCCCCAUGAGCUCCAUGAUGUGGCUGUGGACCGCUGCGGACUUCUCACUAGCCGCCUGAGCCGCAGUGUAGGCCUGGUGGGUGGGUGGGUGGGAGAGUGGGUGAGUGGGUGCGUGGGCAGGCAGGUAGGUAGGUAGGGGUUGUGGGAGAAGCGUAGGAAAGUAGAAAAAGUAGGUCUGUCGGUUCUAUCUAGUUGGGACUUUAGUUGGCUUCGUUGUCUCCUACUUUUCUGUAGUCGCUUCUAACCGCCCACCACCACCUCGUCGCCCUUCGCCACACGACAGCGCUUCCGCUUAUUAUAAUUUCUACUCUGGGCUCUUUUGACGUCGUUCUCCUGGUCAACAUCUACGUGAUGAAUUCAAGCAGCUACGUCUACAGGUUUCAGAGGAAAUUUACUUUCUAACACGUCGCUGGAGACUAGGGAGCUCGCUUCUGUAUGAAGUUAUUCCCGUGUACCACCAUUAUCGGUAUUGCCCUUAUAGCGGCUCAGAAGGUCAUUAAAACACACACACACACACCGUCCAACCCUGAACCCACUCCACUCCACUUCCUUGAAAUUGAACUCCUCCUAAAUCGCAUCGCGUCGCACCUCAGGGCACACAUCCUACCGCGCCCGCCCGUNNNNNNNNNNNNNNNNNNNNNNNNNNNNNNNNNNNNNNNNNNNNNNNNNNUCCCCUCCAGCUCCUCCUCCAGCCUUUUCGCUUGUUCCUGGGAGGUGAGCAACGCUACUUCCGUACGGUUUCGGAACACAACCAACUCCUGUAGGGCGGUUGUCAGUUGGGCCUGACGGGCCCGGGCCUCCGCCGCCCUCUCCUCCGCACUUUGAAGCGCCGUCUCCCUGGCCUCACACACCUGCAGCUCCUCUUGGAGCUUGGUGCUGCAGAGGGGGGGCGGUAUUGGUGAGAAGGGUUACUGAGUGAGGGGCAACCGUUAUAAAGGAAAGAAAGGGAGGGGGUUCAAACCACCUGCAAUAUGGGGAGUCGGGGGGACAGGGUUGGGAAUGGGGGAAAGACGAACCACAAACGAGUGAAGCUGCUGCCAAGGAAAAGAGUAUACAAGAAGCAGAACUGAUCAGUAGGCGUUCUUGAAGGCGGCGACCUAGGGCUGAUAAUGGUAAUGAUGGUGACCGGGAGUGAGGGAUGGGUGGGGCAGGGGGUGGAGGCAAGAGGCAAAUGCCCCAGCCGUGGCUCGCGGCCUCCUCCUCAUAGAGCAUCCGGCCAACAGCAGGCGGCCCUAGUCCGCAUAUGCGGCCGUGGCGAUGUCCUCCAUUUGCGUUCAUCAUCAUCAAACCCCCGGUAACCCGGUAACAGCAACCCCAGCAGGGGCGGCGGCGGCAGGCUGCCACCCGCCAGAGCGGCAGCCCCCGGGCGACCUCUCCUUUGCAUUUGCACAUAAUCAUACAUUCCCUCCCAUCGAAAAAUGGGAGGGGAUCCCCACUAGCACUUCCCUUAGCUUCGCAUCACUUCAUAACUUCACACAAGGACUCGCUCACCGGUCCAUGGCCGACACAUUGGCAAGCAGCGCCGGCGGCACCGCCGGCACAUGGGAGACGUGUUGUGAUGCUGACGGCGGCGCCGUCAACCGCUCACCAGCCAUCGCCGCCAGAUCCAACUUGGCCGGCAGGGUCGGCGGCGGCGGCGGCGCCGGCAGGGACGUCGUUUGCGGCGCCGCCAGCACCGCCGUGAUGUUGCUGCUCGUACCAAACUGGGACUGAAGGGACCACGCCACUGGCUGCGGCGGCGCCGCCGCAGCCGUUGGUGCCACAGGCGGAAAUCCCACCAGUCCUGGCGGCAAGUACUUGGGCAGUGGUAAUCCCCGUUUGACACAGUCUAUGAGGUAGAGGAAGGCUACGAAUUGCGCGCUGGAGAGGCGACUCUCGUUGCCAGCCACCAGGCUCCAAAUGUCCCGCAACACGGGCUUCUCCAAACCCGACUGGGAAAAGAAGCCGAAGCACUCGGCGCCCUGCAUGUAUACAAGUAUGUUAAUAUAUGUGUGUAUGUAUGUAUAUAUGUAUGUAUGUCCAUCAGGCAGGUAACAUCAAUAAAGCAGCACACUGUUUGUGGAGCUAUGCGGCGGCGGCGGCGGUGUGCCAGCGUAACACCCCCCGGCAAGAAGCAAUCACCAGUCGCUUCCUUCGGCAUUGCAGGAGAGUAAAGCCCCGCACUUUCAAGCAGCGCGCUUUAGGAAGCAAGCACCCCCCCGUAUGCGCGCCCGAACGCUGACCAGGUAGCAGCUAGAUGGGAGCCAAAAAAGCUCAAGAUAGUUUUGCUAUGUGCUCUUAUAUACCGAAGGGUACGACGUAUGAUGUAAGUGUACGACACGGGAGCGACACGCGUGCCUCUUUUUCUCCCCACCUUAACUUCCUACCUAGCUCCUUUCAUCAUAUAUAUAUUUUUUUACAGGGUGGUUAACUUCGCCAGCGGCCCCCUUUCCCGGGGCAGUCCCUGCUCUCACCUGCUAGAGGGGCACCCUAAUCCGUCACCCCAUCCGACUUCAGAAUGUAUUCGUUGGGUUCGGCAACUCACCACCAGCAUCCAACCAAAUCUAGCGGAUCAACGGCGCAUCAACUUAGUUCCUGGUCAGCUCGCAAGUUGAUAUUAUCACGUCCUACACCGUCCAUAUGAUGGGGGGCCACCUCCCAUUUCAUCACUCCUCAAACACCCGAGGAGCCGGCAGGCGGAUUUGAACCCGGGUCGGCCAGGUGCAGAAGUCAGGCCUUAACCUCUGCCAGCCGCCUUUGUAUUGAAUACAUUGAAAAGGGUAUAUCUCUUUCCCUAAUGCUCUCCCUCCGUCUUUCGCUUCUUUCGCGGCCCUGCCCCGUCCUCCCCCACACGCUCUCAUUACGGACACACUGCCCUUUUCCUUACCGUAACAAAGCCAUCACGAUCAGCGUCCAGCUGCACAAAACUAGCCUGCAACCGCUGAAUAUCAGAGGCCGCCAGAAGAGGAUAACCACCCGCCGCCGCCGCCGCCGAUGGCGCCGCUGCCGCCGCCGGCAUGGCGCCGGGAGCAACUCCCACAGCAGCCCCGCCGCCACUACCACCACCAGACGCACCGAUUGGCCGAAGCAAACCUGCGGCGCUGCUGCCAGGUCCUCCCGUCAGCUGUGCGUUAUACGGGGAAGGUACGGCACCCAUGGCGGCGCCGUACUGCGGUGCAGCUGCUGUGGAAACUGUGACGCCGACAGGCCUGGGAGCUCCCGUGGCUGUCGCUGCGGAGGGAAUGAAAGGGGCUCCGGGUUGCCCUGUUGCUGCGCCAGAUGGGUCGAGGCCUUGCAGAGUGGGAGGUGGCAGGGCUGGGCCGACUCCGGCUAUGACCGCGCGGGCUUGGUCUAGGGGCAGCUGGCCGCCGCGUGCCUGGAUGAUGCGUGAGAAAUGACAGGUCAGUGAGCGGGUGGGUGGAAUCAUAAGCAAAGGAACAACUGCUGUCGACCUUCAGAAUUUGCUUGCCGCUGCUUUGCGGUGGAUAGAAUGCAGUUGGUGCCCCGGAAGGUUUGCGCAUGCCAAGCUCGUAACCCUACUAACAUUGUAACCUCCUCUGCCAUAGGUCCGGAUUUCAAAAGAUGUGUGCAGUUGUGAGACACUCCCGAUUGCGUGCGGCAGGGCAAUGAAACCGCACGAUGCUGCUGGGUGCAUCAAGUCCAUGCCAGAUUGCAAAGGUUCCUAGGUUACCUGCGCUAGAGCGACCAGGCGCAUUGCCGCCGAGAACUGAGUUUGAUUAAGCUUUGGAGCCCCACCAGAAGCAAGCUCCCAGAUCUGAAGGUUUGUGCAGUUGGCGCAGAAAUGCCAGGAUUCAGGCCAUGACCGCAACAAAGACGCACAUCAGAUUUGCGUGCGGGUGUAUAGUGAUCGAUGUUAUCGAUUACUUGCCUGCCCAAGAACAAGUUGCGGAAGUGCCGAGCGCAUGAAAAAUGACACAGCUUCGCCACCUCCAACCGCUCCAUCUUUGUCUGCAUCAGCGAUACGGAACCACUGUUCGAACAAUUGCUGCGCCAUGACAGCUGUGCUUGGAUGCUACUAAGCUAUGUGCAUGGGCACCAAAGAUCCUCGAGAUAUUCAGCGACUCCUAAAAGCAAUUAACGAGGCAUAUGCGUCAUGUUUAUGGCGCUGCUUGUUUGCGUGGGAAAAAUCUCAGAGCCAUAGGGAUGCCAACAUUGCCGUGCAACUGUAAAUAGUGCCAACCAACCUUAUGCACGCAGUCUCGUUCCCCACGCUCAUGGCAUUCAUUCAUCCAAUUCACAACCGCAUCGCGUUCGCUCUUUACAGUAUAUGCUUCGUUAACAAAAGUGCUCUUGCGGAUGGAUACUAUUAGCCCUUGGAGCCGGUCAAAACAAAUGCAGCACACAGGGCAUCUUAGGCGCCUCUAUAUUCAUACUGUUUAUUAGCAGCCUACCUGCCUUACAAGAGUGAAGCCACACGUAUCGCUCGCGAACGGGCACUGACACAAAUGGAGGAAGCUGACGACCAAUACAACAUUAAGCGCAUCCAGUUUUUCGGACGGUCUGCCACACCAAUCUUUAUGCAGAGUCAUAAUGGACCGUGCCCGCUCCUCGCGCUGGUGCGUCUUCGUCUCCGUGUAUACGUAGACACAUCUGCACGAUCACGUCACCUGCACUUUCAUACGGCACUUACCUUGUAUCCGCACCGUAUGUGUGUUUCACAACUGGCCUAUUUCCCAACAUCCUCUGAAAACCACCACCUAGCUACAUCAGCCCUUUCUCUGACCCCAACCACCUGCUUUUUCCCAUCCUUUUCCCGCGCACCACCCAGGCAAACGUCCUAUCCUUGCGCAACCAACUUCCCGAUCUUUCCUCCUCAGCCACCACCGUCAGCCAGAAACGCCUGAUUGAGAUGGUCGCGGAGCGGCUGGUGGACUCCAAUUUGGGAUCGGCCACCGGUAGCCAUGGACACGCCUUCGCGGCUGACCUCCAGCAAAACUUGUCAGACAGCUUGGACAGUCUGCACAAAUUGGCUGUGGGUAUGGACGUCAACGUGCGCUUUAACAGCGUCUUCGGGUGCGUGUAGGGUUUCAUCCGAAGGCCAACUUGUCCUGUGACAUGGAGACGGGUGUCGACGCUCCUGCGUCCGUUCAGACUCCCAAGCCAGCCACCCUAUCCCCAACAAAAUCUCAUUCCACCGAAACCCGUAUUCAGAAGGAUAUGUGAUCCAUAUCUGUCCCGCUAUGCCAACUGAAGCCCGCCCUGGAAAGGCGUUUCAAUUCAAACCCCCGUCGACCCCGAUCUCCGCUGACCCACAUCUCAAACUCGGUUCUUCCUGAAAGCCAGCCAGCCUAGGGCCGGAUCCGCUCACGAACGCGUUAUUUGAGCCUAAAGGUUGAUUGGUGUGCUUCACCCUUGUAAUAAACCCCGGACUCAUUCCUCAAGGUCAAUCGGCGCUUCCUUACCCUCAGAGGGCGCUGACCCACAUCGCAAAUCAUUUUCGGCGCUCUCCUAGCUAUUCCAAUUCCCCCUAGCGUCACAUGGCUUCGUAGAAAUAAAAAAGUGAACGAAAUCACUUCAUGAAAGAAAGUCGGCCCCCUCCCUCCUAUCUGUCGAUUCCUGGGGUAUCCCGUUAUCUCUGGUUUCUGCUUCGCUCGUCUGUGGUUCAUCUUAACCCUUCCUUUCCUCCCCCGCUCCCUCCCCAACACCACCAACGCGGUUUUGCGUAUGAUUUCCUCCCCAAGCCGGCCCACUAGCUCCAAGUCACCAAUCCUGAUGUGACUUUGUGCUCGGGUCCUCCUAUCUCUCCUCUCUAUGCGCCUAUCUCUGGUAUCUGCGUCACUCGUCUAGAACAUUCCAUUCCCCGAUGCUCUCUCCCAAAAAAAUCCUUUCACCUUUAUUUUUUGCGCUUUGCUCUUUGCGCUUGUUGCAUGUGAGUUGCCCUAAAAUCCCCCUCCCCUUCCCCCACGCCCCCUUUUCACAGCUUCGAGCCCACCCAGUUCGUGAGCAUUUUCGACUUGCUGGACAUCUCGCUGUGCCACGGCUGGCUGGUGGACCCCGAGGAUGCGGAGACGACGCGGGUGGUGGCCCACCGCAGCUACAACGAAGUCAUUGAGAUGAUCAUCACCACUAUGGAAGCCGUGCAACAACAACAGCAACAACAGCAGCAAUCCUCGGGGACAUUACCGUCUCCCGUGACGCUGCCAAGCGGGGCUGCGGUAUGGGGCGUUGCGUUAGCGGCUGCGGGUGGUGGCGGCGGUGGCGGUGGAGCCCCUUGUCCCGGUGCUGUCGAAGAGGGGCCCAGCUGCUCACGUGACACUGUCGCAGCAGCGGCAGCAGGUACGGAAGCGGGAGGUGCAGCGGGGUGGUCUGCGACUACAAGAGAAGCAGGGGGAGGAGGAGCAGAAGGAGGCAGCGGAGAAGGGCCAGCAGCCGCGACCGGGACGUCGUCAAGUCGAGCUACUGCAGGCGCUAGCGCAUGCCUAGCAGCACCCCAAGCAGCAUCGGCAGCGCAGCACAGCAAUAACAGUAACAUUCAUGACAACAACAACGACAGCACCUCUCCAUCGCGGUGCAGUGACACAGGGGACGCAGCGUCCCCAUCCGCCGACGAUCAAAAUGGCUGCGUCCGUACAGCGUCGUCACCGCUGCCACCGCCGCCGCCGGAGGCGCCGGGGACGGCCUACCCGGUGGCAGCACCGUUGCCGAUGCAGGCGCCGGUGCCGGCGGAGGCUGCCAUCAGUGGCAGCCAGACGUCGCAGCUAAUAGACUUAGCAGACCUGCUAGGCUGGCGGCCACCGCCGCCACCGCCACCGCUGCCGCCGGCGCCGCCGCCACCUUCACCACCUCCGCCGCCAGAGCCGCUGCCGCCAUCAGGAUGGCCUGACCAGGACACGACGGCGGCUCGGCAACCUGCCGCUACUGCCGCCGCCACUGCUGCCGAAGCAGCAGCUGCAGCUGAAGAAGACGCAAGCCAAGUUGCUCGUCGUAUCUAUGAAGCCAUGGUGGCCCGUGACUUCUUAGAAGCCAGCUGUUCGCAGUUAACGGUGGCCGGAUUGAGGGCGCUACGAAGCGAUCUACGGCCUUCGCAGUGAGUUACGGGACCCCCUGGAGUGGUGCUGGUGGUGUGAUGGGGUGGUGGUGGUGAUGGUGGUAGUGGGGGUGGGGUUAGUGGGGUAGGGUGGGGUGGUCACGCUAGGGAGGUUGUAGUGGUGGUCAUGGUCGGAUGGGGUGGGGUGGGGGUGGUGGAUGUAUUGAUGGCCUCUGGAGCUCUCUUAACUAGGUUGGCAGUCAAUGGGGUUGGGGUGGGGUGGGGUGGGGACAUUGUAUGGUGAGACACACAAGUCAUGAAAGUAGCAACUGCCGUCCGCAAUUCGCAGUAAUGCCUACUAUUGAAACAAACACUGGAAGGGUUUGGGAAGUAGGGUGGAGGUGGUGUGUGUGUAUGUAUGUGCGAGUUGGAGUCUGUAGGCUGCUUCUGUUGGGGUUUAGGGUCCGCUGAAAUCCCAUAUUUUCUGAACAGGGCUCUAGGAGCUUAGGAACGGAAAUUUGACGCAGGUUCAGAAAAGGAAAGUUAUGCAUUGAAGUUCAGGAGGGAAAUACCUUUAGGAACGCUGUCACUUUAUUUCCCAUGCGGCGGAAGCAAAAGAAGAAGAAGAAGAAAUCUUUUCCUGCCCGCUUCCUGCUCCUUUCUCCGUUCUCAACACCGUGCAUGGUACGGUGUUGGUUAUUUCUUUAUUGUUUGCCGCAUGGCCUUCCUUCUCAUGCUCUUUGAGUCCGACAGUUGUGUAUUCCCCUGCUGGUAUUGCUACAUCUAAUCCCCCCCUCCCCCUCCCCCUCGCCCCGCCGCCGCCCUGCCCCCUACAUUGCUGCUGCCGGGCAGGCUGGCUGUGUUUUUCCGCAACAACCAUUUCUCUGUGGUAUUCAAGCACGGCAGCACCCACCAGGUUUUCCUGCUGGUGACGGAUCAGGGGUACCUUAACGAACGUGAGGGGACUGGGGGGGGAGUUCGGAUUGCGCCGCUGUUGUUGUUGUUGUUGUUGUUGUCGCCAUUGCCAGCACCGCCAGUACCGGGGUCACCAUUGGAGCGGUGGGACGCUUUUGGACUGGUGGAUUCAUUGAUGUUGCAGCUGCUGCUGCAGCUUUAGGCGCCGCGUGUAAACUGAGGGCGCGGGAAGUACAUGUUUUGAGCAUUUGGAGCACUCAGUCUUUUAUUUUUUUUGCUUCACGCUUCGCUCGCCUGAGACACACCACACACACAUACACACACAUACACACACAUACACAACGCAAAUACACACAACGUAUCCGUCCCCUCUUACCCGGCGGGGCCCCCCCCUGCGUCAUGUAUCCCACGUCAUUUGCGCCACGCGUCGCAUGCUUGUGCUCCUCACCAUGCCGUACGCACGCAUGUAUGGAAAUGACAGCUGAUGUGGUUUGGGAGCAUCUUUCCAGCGUGGCGGGCGACACGCAGUUUUGCGGCGCCGACUUUUCCCCCUUUCGGCCGCACCGGGAGGGUCAGCCCCAGGGAGGGGCCGCCGCCUCCGCUGGCCUUGCAGGUAUGUGGUGAGCACUCUGUAUGUGAAGCUCUUGCUCAAGCUGAGGAAGGGGUUUCACACUUGCUCGUUUUUUUUGGGUUGCAAAGAAGGCUGGGUGGGCGCACUCUGCGGUGUAUGUGUGUAUGUUUGUUACAAGUAUCUUGCCCGGCCUGACGCUGGCCAGGGCUGCUGCCCAGCUCCAACGAACAAAGCCGCCCGGGGGAAAGGGGAGGGGCGUGAGGGGCCACUGUUCAUGUGUGUAUAGAAGGGUGCAUGGUGACAACAGGUGGAUUACUAUCCAUUCGCCACCCUCCUACACACAUAUGUAUAUUAUGUAUAUAAUUUAUGUAUAAUAAUAUUAUUAAGGCCCAUGCAGAAGAGGCAAAAACAAUUUAUAUAUAUUGCAUCAAUUUGGCACAUGCGGAAGCCGAAGCAUGGAAAACGAAGAGGCGGCGGAGCACGACGAGAAGGGAGGGGAGGAGAAUUGUGUACGCUUUCGCAAGCUCAAGGUUUAGUAGUCCUGAAUAUCUUGGCGAGGGCUUUUCAAUUUGUUUCCAGGAAUUCAGCCUUCUUACACCUUUCACCUGUUUCCCCGCCAUCGUCAUCGCCGAUGGUGUAGGUGCAGACGUGCUGAUGAGCGAGGCGGAUGCGGCUGCCGUAGCUGCCGUACUAGCGCAGGACGAGGCUGAGCGGAUGGCCCUAGAGGACCUGAGUGGGGACACGUUUCUGGACGUGUCAGGUCUGGAGCUGGAAAACCGUCCGACCGCGCCGCCCCAGCCGGCGACUGCUGGGGCUGUGGCGGGGCCUGCGGGCCUCAUGCCCCACUCCAUCGCGCCACCGCUGUUACAGCCGCAGCCGCACCAGCAGGUACUUCUUCACCCACCACCACCACCACCGCCACUGCAGCAGCAGCAGCAACAAUACUAUCAGCAGCAACAGUAUCAACAUCAUCAGCAUCAGCAUCAGCAACAACAGCACUAUCAGCAGCAACAGUAUCAACAUCAUCAGCGUCAGCAGCAGCAGCCCCAUCACCUGGACUCCGAUCUGGCCUUGGCGCUCCGGCUUCAACAGGAAGAGGAGGAGCAGGCGGCGGCGAUCCGGCGGGAAGGGGAGCGAUUGAGGCGGCAGGAGCAGCAGCAGCAGGGCCCUCAACAAGGCCGGGUGAGUGGGCGGGCUGCAGUUUAAAUGAACUUGCGUGGCGCGGGAGGAUUUCGGGAGCUGAAGAGCGUCGCUGUGUUUGUUUUGCAUGCAUGGGCCCCCCCGCAACCUCCUCGCGUUAUGGCCACGUAGACUCGGUGCCGCCUCUUUCACUUGUAUGCCUGUUGUCCGUUCCGUUCCCGUGCUGUUGUAUGUGCAUGUGUGGUCAUGGUGGUGGUGGUUACGGUGAUCGUCUGUAAAGCAGGCGGGUGGCGGCGGAUCGUACCGUGGAGGCACAUUCACGACCACCUACCGGCAACAACAGCAGCAACAACAACAACGACAGCAGCAGCAGCAGGAACAGCAGCAGCGGUGGCGUUUCCCAUCGGGAAGAAGCGGGCAGGAGCAGGGGCAACCGGAAGAGAAAGAGAAAUGCACGGUUAUGUGAUGUCAUAUCGUACGUCGUCGUGCAUGGUACCGAGAAUGCAUGGUAGUACGGCGCGGGCUCUGCAUCGUGGUCAAAUCAUCACAGCCGAUUAAGGGCGUUUUAGGUGUGCGCCGAGCUGCGUCGCGUCGGGGAGCAUGUACGCAGUAUGCCGCGUUUUUACCGCCACACGAACAACUUUCGUAUUCCUCGAGAUUACGGUUUCCCGGUUCUGUGUCCGGUUCUCAACGGUUGUCUUGACUCCUCGGAGCUUUUAAAUGCUGCCAAGCAAAAGGCACAAAGGCCCUUUCACUGUUUUGUUGGGAGUUAGUCCCUGCUUCUGUUUUGGUGUUCUUGGAUGUCUUGAGCGCGGGCGCUAGAUGGCGACACAACGAAAGCAAAGUUUCUGAGAUGCCUUUAGGUAUAUCUUGCCGUAGAUUUGUUUCAAAAACAUUUAUGGGAGUGCAGAAAUGAGGGGAUUUCCUGGGUGUUUUGUGGAUGAUCCGAGGGUUCUAUGCGUGUGGGUGAGCGCAGUUUCGCUUCCCUGGAGGUGAAAUCCUGAGAGACGAGACGUGGACGGACACAAAACUGCGUUGCGUCUGGAGGCCUCUCUGUGUGUAUUUGUGUGGGCCGAUAUUACUCGGUGGCCACAUUCUUUUCCUAGAUUUUGUCUCUUUUUGGUGAUUCCCUGUGUGCCGGUGUGUCUGCUACUGCUGCUGCUGCUACUGCUGCAGCAAACCGGGCAACUGAUGAGAACGGGGAAUCACCGCCGGCACCAGCACCACGACAUUUGCCAACCUAGGGGGCAAUUUUUAAACAAUUCCCACAAGAGGCAUACGGAGGCGACAACGGCGGCUGCGUGGGGUUUCAUGAUCCAACUGUCCCCCGAUCAAAUUCACUACCAAAUUGUCACCACCACCAUCACCACCCACACAACAACAACAACCACAACCUUGCCUUUUUCCCGACACCGCUAUUACCGCCGCCAACGUUUUCCUCCCAGCGCCCGGUAGCCCACACAGACGCCAAAGGAAAUGGGAGAAAAGCGUGAAAAUUUGCACCAUCUUGCACAGUUACUUCUUCGCCACAAAACACAUGGUUUCCGCCAAAAGUGAUAACAUCAACCAGUAUCCAAGUCUACGCAAUAAAUAAACAUUACAUUGUGCUGCGCGAAGCUAUCCGCGUAUAUCCCAACACCAACAAUCCCACGAGGCCCACCAUCACCUCCACUUCAGCAGGUAAAGUGAUCCAGCAUCACUCACUCACCUGUAAACAACAACAUAAGCAAAGUGUUGCCCGUCCUUCCAAAGAAUAAUAUCCAACGGAUGCGGAGGCGGACCGCAAAUUCAAGUGGCGCGCGCGCGCCUGUAUGUAUAUGUGUGUGUGUAUGUGCACGCGCGCGUGUGCCUAGAUGAGGUGGAGAAACACACGAAGCACAAAAAUUACCACCACCAACCGUCACAACACCCACCUAACAAGCAUAAAAGCAACAGCGCGCCAAAAAAACUCAGCAAAGGGGCGCCCACAUCAGGCCAGACAUGCAUGCAUGCAUGCAUGCAGGCGUGUGUGUGUGUGUGUGUGUGUGUGUGUGUGUGUGUGUGUGUGUGGAUUUGCAUUUGCCCCACAAAAAAAUGGGACAAGUCGAAAUUAAUUAACCCUCCCCAACAAGGAAUCUCAGAUGAAAGCAAGUAAAUGCAAAAUUUUCCAUUUAUCAAAAACGUUCCAAACAGCAUUUGCCUCCUUCUUCCUGUCCACCAAGGCACACCAGCGAGGGCUCCCGAAAUGCAUCCUUAGACGGAUCCAGCUCGAGCCUCCCCACCACCGUCGCCAACAUGCACCUCUUCCCCCUCCUCCUCC
rnacentral:lncRNA from 1 species